GUCCUCAGCUAUCAGAGGCGAGGAAAGCUGGUAAUUAAGAGGAGACAAAAGUGUCAUUAAGCGUGUACUGUCCAUGUGGGUUGGAGCCCCAUGCUGAGCCCAAGGCUGAUUCUGAUGGUGAAUGUUUCACGGGUGGAGAGAGCAGAGGGAGGCCCUGGUGAUGGGGAUCCCAAAGG
ensembl:misc_RNA